AUGAUUGUCAUACGUCAUAUUACUUGUUAGAAGGUCUGAAGUUUCCUUUCGCUCUUUGGAGAAUAGGCAAAGCCCACAGAAGAAAAGGCAGAUGAAAUAUACCUGCAGAAAUCUUUUCUCAAAACAAGACUUCCUUUGAGGAUGAUUCUGGGGAAAAUGCGGGAGACAAAAUGGCUCAUUUGGAUCCAAGGUUUCAAACAGCUCAUGAGAAAUUGGAACAGAAAAGCCAGCAGUGGCAGCCCAUGCCACAGAGCGCUCAGCUGAACCCCUGCCCAGCUCGCUGAGGUUCCAUGCACACCGGCUCUUGGCCCGGGAGAGUGAUGUGGGAAGAUACCAUCUGUCCAGAGAAGCAGACACAAGGAGCUUCCAAAAACAAAUAAAAACUAUGUAUACAUAUAUUUUUAAGAAGACGAGUAUCCAAUUUUUCAUGUCAAU